rnacentral:rRNA from 1 species
AGUUGCAAAGAACUUUGAAGAGAGAGUUCAGAGGGCGUGAAACCGUUGGGAAGGAAACGGAUAGAGUUGACGGAGUCCGGUGGCAUUCAGCCGAUACGGUGACGAUGCCCGAUUGUCCUUUUUUCACCUUCUGAGAAGGGGGUGGGGACGGUUUGGUUGCGUCGUAACUGCGAUCGGUGUAGUUGCUCUGGAUAUGCGCCGAGAGGUUCGCUGCGGUAUGCUGACAUCAUUGCCAAAGAGGACUGUGCUCAUCUGAGCGUGGAAACCUUUGGUUGGUUUAGGCGUGUUCGCGGUGAACUGCCAGUUAGUUCUGGUUGUGUUGCCCGGCAGCGCAACGACUGCUGCGUGGCUAGUGUGACUGUUGAGCGGUCGCUUGCGACUUGCUUAUGGUUGACGUUGGCCUGUUGGUGGUUCCAGUUGCGUUGGGCGAAUACAUUUCGGUGUUCCAGUCAAUCACCUAUCCGACCCGUCUUGAAACACGGACCAAGGAGUCUAGCAUGUACGCGAGUCAUUGGGUGGUAAACCCAAAGGCGCAAUGAAAGUAAAGAUAGCCCUAGUGUUGUUGAUAUGGGAUCCGUACGGUUCGUUGCUGUGCGGCGCACCAUAGCCCCGUCCAAGUUACUUAACGUGGGCGGAGGCAGAGCGUACACGCUGGGACCCGAAAGAUGGUGAACUAUGCCUGAGCAGGAUGAAGCCAGAGGAAACUCUGGUGGAGGUCCGAAGUGGUUCUGACGUGCAAAUCGAUCACCAGAUUUGGGUAUAGGGGCGAAAGACUAAUCGAACUAUC